GAGUCAUAAAAGAGACGAGGUUGCCUACCCCGGAGGUUGUUGGACAACAGCUUGAAGCUUGCCAGAAUGCAGUCUUGGAAUAAGAGAAGAGGCAAGAUAAUGAUCUACAUCUUCAUUAAGAGAUUGUAUGUGCAUGCACACCAAUCUGUGUAACGUGCAUAGCAGUUAGGUUUAUAAAUAAACUUUUAUUAUAUAUUUGAAUAUAUUUUAGAAAAAUAAAGAAAUGAAUAAUAAAUGGUCAAACAACACCUA